rnacentral:rRNA from 1 species
CGUGGAGCAUGUGGCUUAAUUUGACUCAACACGGGAAAUCUUACCGGGUCCGGACAUACCGAGGAUUGACAGACAGUUAUUUUGCAACUACCUGCAGAGUUCUAAACUUAAGAGCUCUUUCAUGAUUAUAUGAUAGGUGGUGCAUGGCCGUUCUUAGUUCGUGGAGUGAUCUGUCUGCUUAAUUGCGUUUCAAAAUUUUGUACUGAGUGACAAGGUGCUGCUGUCGAAACUGUCUAGGCCGAGUGUGAACUGUAUGUCUUUUGAUAUGCGACCAUCACUCAUAGACGUUAUGUUUUGGUGGUAGCCCUUGGUGCUCAUUUGAACGCAACGGACGUGAUUGCAACCCCUUGUUGAGAUUGAUUGGAUCUCUACGUCUACUGAACCAAACAGUUUAGCRAUUGUUUGCGGAUGUGGAUAAACUCGGGGGACUGCUGACUAUAAACUUUCUUCAAACCAGAGGAAGGUUGCGGCAAUAACAGGUCUGUGAUGCCCUCAGAUGUUCCGG